rnacentral:lncRNA from 1 species
ACAGGUAUUAUAUCGUGUGUGCUCGAGUGCAUGAAACAGAAAGGAAAAGGUUUCAAAGAUUAUGAAAAAUUGGUAAUACUAACAUUUGAUGAAGUCUAUCUGUCUAAUAAAAUUGCGAUAGAUCGCAAAUAUGAGCAGGUCGUUGGAUCUCACAAAACGUGUCAAUGUGUCAUGAUACGAAGCUUAUUUUCUAAUUCGAAACAGCCAGUGUACUAUAACUUUGAUGAACCUAUGACUAAAAGUACGCUUCUGCAUGUUAUUUUAGAAAUAUAUAAUAUCGGUUAUACGGUUGUUGCUAUGACGAGUGAUAUGAGUUCGAGUAAUAUGUGAUUGUGGUCAAAAUUAGAAAUAGGAAUUGCACCCAAAAAUGUUACUUUCAGCAUCCUGUUUGUAUAGAACUAAAAAUUUUUGUUUUUACAGAUAUGCCUCAUCUCAUUAAACUUGUGCGUAAUCAUUUCCUCGAUAAUGAGUUCAACGUGAAGUAAUUGGACAACGGAGUAAUUGUUAAUAAAAAAUGUUUGGAACGGAUAUUAGCUAUUAAUAGUAAGGAUUUGAAAGUGGCAUACAAAAUAUAUCUCAGUACCAUUUAGACUUGCAAGGUACUGAGCGACAAAAAGUACUUCCAGCUGUUCAACUACUGUCUGCUAAUACUGCUUCUGCAUUACAAUGGUGUGGGCAAAACGGUUUUCUUGAAAAUGUAGAGUGGAUGAAAACAUCAUGUAUGACCAAGUUGUUGAACGACUGGUUUGAUAUAUUUAAUUCAAAAUCGAUGUAUGGCAAUCAUUCAGGAAAAAAUGCGUACGGCAAAAACUUAGAAGAACAAAAUGCAAUACUUCACAAAGUGACGUCUUUCAUGUACAAAUUAAGAGUAGGAAGGCACAAAAGUUUAAUAUUAUUUCAGAAAGGGUUUAUCGUAAGCAAUAAUUCUUUGGAACAAUUAUUACCGUACUUAAUCGAAAAGUAUAUUAUGACUGAUAUUAAAUAUGUGAUAACAAAUAGGUUAAACCAAGAUGUAUUGGAAAAUUUUUUUUCUUUUAUAAGAUCGAAUGGUGGUGGUGCAAACGAUCAACCAUCAGCCUUAGAUUUUAAGUAUAGAAUGAAACGUUACAUAUUAGGAAAAUUUUCUACGAUAACUUUCUGCAAAAAUACAAAUGUCACAGAAAGCGAACAAAAUCUAUGCUGUUUAAUAUCCGUUUAACAAUAAUAAUAAUAAUUGUGAAGAGUAUACUUUAAGUGAAAUGUUAAGUCCGUACGCAAACGAAGAAGAAACAAUCUAUCAUGUCGAAGAACAAUUGUUAAUGGAGAAUGAAAGUAAUGAUAAGAAAAAUUGCGUUCCAUGUUUCAAUUUAGUAUAUAUUCCUACUUUAGAAGAAGAACAGUUAUUAAAAUCCUUAGAUGAAAUGGAAAUUGUCGACAAUAUUGAAGCUCAAGGUUUACUAUAUAUAGCUGGCUAUGUAGCAUACAGGUUCAAAAAUAAACAUGAUACACUAGGUAUUCAAACAUGUGAGUUACCAACUAAUAAUGACCAAGAUUGGUUACAAUUCAUUUCCCGAGGGAAAUGCAUGUACCCAUCACCUGAGCUUUUAAAAGCUGCACAUGUCAUGAACAGAGAAUUUUGUAAGUAUCAGUUUAAAGCUUAGCAAAGACAAAUUUAUCUUCAAAAAACUUGCGAAUAGAGUAGAAAUUGUAUUAAAACCUAUUGAAUUGCCAAGAGAAGUCUUGUUAUGUCUUAUUAGGACAAGAACCUACAUUAGAGUACGAGAAAUUAAUCGAAUUAUUGCUUUAAAAAAUAGAUUUAAAAAUAAGAAAAAAAAGUUAACCAAAUUUACCAAUAAUAAAUCUUUUUCAUAGCAUUUUUAUAUAUGUUUUUAUUAUUCUUGUCAUUUAACUAUCCCUACAAAGUACAUAGUUUCUUUCGAAGUUUCAUACGAAAAAUGUAUUGACAUUUUUAUGUAUUCGUUUUGUAUACUUUUCUAUAUUUAUUAAGUGUGUAAUGUUUAUUUAUAUUUAUUAAUUUAUAAACUGUGACAAGAUAUUUAUUAAUUCAUAAACUAUUACUUCACAAUAAAUUCUUUCUUGCAAAUUUAAAAUUAAAAUAAUAUAUCUAACGAGAAUGCUACUAACAAGCUAUUUAGAAUCAGCAGUUUUAAAUUUACCGCUUAUUUGUGACGUCACACUUUGGCAAUUCUGAUUGGUAGCAUGCGCAUGAGCAUACCCUUGUCUUUAUACCAUGGUCAAAACUAGGUGUCAGUUCCUUGUAUCUCUACUAACCGUCAACAAGAGCAAAGACGAAAACGACCCAUAGGUAAGGUUAGAGAGUGCCGAAAAACACGGUAGGAAUUGAGGGUUAAGAAUCUUGUUAAAUUUUAUGUUUCAGACUACCUCGAGAGCUCAAAUUACCUCCGCUAACAACAUAUUUUGGCCUUAUGUUCAUAAAUCGUUAAAUAAAUAUAUAUUUUUAUGCAACAAAAAAAUUGUUUUCUAUUCUUUAAAAGUGUACCUUUCAGUGAAAAAAAAGUUUGUACCAAUACAUGCAAUACUUAAAAAAAAUUCAUUAAAAAUAACUUAUUUUUUCGGGCGUCGCACUGUAAUAGCCCCUUAAAUGACCCAUGUAAAAAAUUUUAACCCUAAAGAGAAUCAAAUGUAUGUAGAAUACCCAUACGCACACUCAAACGCACGCACGCACACACACAAGAAAAUCAACGAGAAACUAAACAUUAACCCUCUGCCUACACACGGGGUUACGGUAACCCCAGUCGAUUUUAAAAUGUUCGCUACUUAAAAGUAUUUAGCAAGGGGACGCUGGAACCGGGGGGGGGGGGAGUUUGAACUGUGCUUUACUUAUUCCUUUUUGGGCGUUGUGAAUGUUCUGAAAACAACAGAAGUAGGAGCAUCGAAAGUUUGUGUUGGGAUUACAGUUACCCCGUGUGUAGGGAACGUAACAAAAAAAAUGGAAAAGUUCCAAAUUUGACGGUUUCACAGUUCUACGACUAUGAGCCAACAGAAGAAGAAAUGAAUCUUCUUGAAAAUUUCAAUAAAACUGAUGACCGAGAAUGGAUCUGCAAUUGAGGCUUAAAAUACAUCGCGGGAUAUGUUGCCUAUCAGUCCAGGGACAAGUAUUCCUUUUUGGGAAAUUCAACAAAAGAUUUAGGAUCGCUGGAUAACUCGGAAUAUAUGUUAUCGGGUUUGUAUCCCUCUGAAGAAUUUAUCAAACUGUAAAAGAUUAUGAACGAUGUAUUUGUGUGUGUGUGUGUGUGUGUGUGUGUGUGUGCGUGUGUGUGCGCGCGCGCGUGUGUGUGUGUAUGUAAAGAAUUUCACAGACCGAAUCAACUGAAACUAAAAA